GAGUUUGAUCCUGGCUCAGGAUGAACGCUGGCGGCGUGCUUAACACAUGCAAGUCGAACGAAGCACUCUUUUAGAUUUCCUUCGGGGAGGAAGAAAUUGUGACUGAGUGGCGGACGGGUGAGUAACGCGUGGGCAACCUGCCCCAUACAGGGGGAUAACAGCCGGAAACGGCUGCUAAAACCGCAUAAGCGCACAAGGGCCGCAUGGCCUGGUGUGAAAAACUCCGGUGGUAUGGGAUGGACCCGCGUCCGAUUAGGUAGUUGGUAGGGUAGAGGCCUACCAAGCCUGCGAUCGGUAGCCGGCCUGAGAGGGUGGACGGCCACAUUGGGACUGAGACACGGCCCAAACUCCUACGGGAGGCAGCAGUGGGGGAUAUUGCACAAUGGGCGAAAGCCUGAUGCAGCGACGCCGCGUGGGUGAAGAAGUACCUCGGUACGUAAAGCCCUAUCAGCAGGGAAGAAAAUGACGGUACCUGACUAAGAAGCUCCGGCUAAAUACGUGCCAGCAGCCGCGGUAAUACGUAUGGAGCAAGCGUUAUCCGGAUUUACUGGGUGUAAAGGGAGCGUAGGCGGCAUACCAAGCCUGAUGUGAAAACCCGGGGCCCAACCCCGGGAGUGCAUUGGGAACUGGCAAGCUAGAGUGUCGGAGAGGCAGGCGGAAUUCCUAGUGUAG
rnacentral:rRNA from 1 species